rnacentral:rRNA from 1 species
GAUUAGUGGCGAACGGGUGAGUAACACGUGAGUAACCUGCCCUUGACUCUGGGAUAAGCCUGGGAAACUGGGUCUAAUACCGGAUAUGACCUUCCAUCGCAUGGUGGUUGGUGGAAAGCUUUUGUGGUUUUGGAUGGACUCGCGGCCUAUCAGCUUGUUGGUGGGGUAAUGGCCUACCAAGGCGACGACGGGUAGCCGGCCUGAGAGGGUGACCGGCCACACUGGGACUGAGACACGGCCCAGACUCCUACGGGAGGCAGCAGUGGGGAAUAUUGCACAAUGGGCGCAAGCCUGAUGCAGCGACGCCGCGUGAGGGAUGACGGCCUUCGGGUUGUAAACCUCUUUCAGUAGGGAAGAAGCGUAAGUGACGGUACCUGCAGAAGAAGCGCCGGCUAACUACGUGCCAGCAGCCGCGGUAAUACGUAGGGCGCAAGCGUUAUCCGGAAUUAUUGGGCGUAAAGAGCUCGUAGGCGGUUUGUCGCGUCUGCCGUGAAAGUCCGGGGCUCAACUCCGGAUCUGCGGUGGGUACGGGCAGACUAGAGUGAUGUAGGGGAGACUGGAAUUCCUGGUGUAGCGGUGAAAUGCGCAGAUAUCAGGAGGAACACCGAUGGCGAAGGCAGGUCUCUGGGCAUUAACUGACGCUGAGGAGCGAAAGCAUGGGGAGCGAACAGGAUUAGAUACCCUGGUAGUCCAUGCCGUAAACGUUGGGCACUAGGUGUGGGGGACAUUCCACGUUUUCCGCGCCGUAGCUAACGCAUUAAGUGCCCCGCCUGGGGAGUACGGCCGCAAGGCUAAAACUCAAAGGAAUUGACGGGGGCCCGCACAAGCGGCGGAGCAUGCGGAUUAAUUCGAUGCAACGCGAAGAACCUUACCAAGGCUUGACAUGAACCGGAAAGACCUGGAAACAGGUUCCCCACUUGUGGUCGGUUUACAGGUGGUGCAUGGUUGUCGUCAGCUCGUGUCGUGAGAUGUUGGGUUAAGUCCCGCAACGAGCGCAACCCUCGUUCUAUGUUGCCAGCACGUGAUGGUGGGGACUCAUAGGAGACUGCCGGGGUCAACUCGGAGGAAGGUGGGGACGACGUCAAAUCAUCAUGCCCCUUAUGUCUUGGGCUUCACGCAUGCUACAAUGGCCGGUACAAAGGGUUGCGAUACUGUGAGGUGGAGCUAAUCCCAAAAAGCCGGUCUCAGUUCGGAUUGGGGUCUGCAACUCGACCCCAUGAAGUCGGAGUCGCUAGUAAUCGCAGAUCAGCAACGCUGCGGUGAAUACGUUCCCGGGCCUUGUACACACCGCCCGUCAAGUCACGAAAGUUGGUAACACCCGAAGCCGGUGGCCUAACCCCUUGUGGGA